UGCGUAGGCGGAUUAAUAAGUCAGUGGUGAAAUCUUUCGGCUCAACCGAGAAACUGCCAUUGAUACUGUUAAUCUUGAGUUCGGUUGAGGUAGGCGGAAUGUGUAAUGUAGCGGUGAAAUGCUUAGAUAUUACACAGAACACCAAUUGCGUAGGCAGCUUACCAGACCGACACUGACGCUGAGGCACGAAAGCGUGGGGAGCGAACAGGAUUAGAUACCCUGGUAGUCC
rnacentral:rRNA from 1 species